UUUCUGAGAUGGAUAGAGUAGGGGCUAGGAUGAACGUUAGGGCAGCUCGUGAACGGCGACGCUUAUGCAUAGCCAUGGAUAUAUAGCCUUCGGAGGAUGGAAGCGUCAGGUUAGCAGUACUAUUUGCCGCGCGCCCGUCUCUAUGUGACGAUGUCCCCAAGACCGAACGGGUCACCAUGAGGGGCGGCGUGAGGAAUGUUACAGACAUGGUGAACGGUGAGUCAGGUCGAGUUUGUACUAGGACCGGGAGCAGGGAAGGCGGCGGUGUGCAUGUUGGAUACAUUUGGAUGGAGACUCCUCUUGUGGACUCAUGGGGUUGGCUUGGUUUACUGUUCGUUUGGAUAUUCAGGGCUCUGAUGUACAACGGGAAUGGUCUCAGGCAUAUGGGGAGGGAGGUAGAGCAGAGGGAACGGUGCUGGUGGCUGUGUAAUGCAGAAGCAGGCGAAAGAGAUCGUGUUUUAGGCGGAACAAGCCUGCUUCCCGUUUGAGGGGACAUGAAUGUGUUAGACCUGUGUUAAAACGGCGCCGCUAGAAUAUCGAGGGACAAGACUGCAAGGCAAAAAUGCUUCGCAAUAGCGAAAACCCGGUCAUAGUCUGCCCGACGAGUUGGUGACGUGCUUUUCCAGUCUGUCGGUAGAUAUACUAUGAAACAGAAUGGAGGUCAAGGUUCGGCAUGGAGACAUAUCGUUGUAGACAUACCCAUAUGUAUAGUUAUGCGAUGGUGGAAUCGCCGGGUGAAGACCACCGUUUGUCUUGCGCCAAUUUCUCCGCACUGGUGCACCAGCCUUGAGAGCAUCGGCAGUCAGUGGUGAUUUACUCAGCGUGGUGCGGAUUUCGGAAGAAUGAUGGAUGGUGAGGGGCGACGAGUGUGUAGAAGAAUCGGAAGCAGGGAAGGCGAGUGUCCACAAGGCAGGCAUGAUACAUGAGAGUGGAAACCAGUGUUGUGAACACAUGCACGGGGCGUGAAUGGCUGUCACCGGG
rnacentral:lncRNA from 1 species